rnacentral:rRNA from 1 species
AUGCACGCUGGCGGCGUGCUUCACCCAUGCAAGUCGAACGAUGAAGCCCAGCUUGCUGGGUGGAUUAGUGGCGAACGGGUGAGUAACACGUGAGUAACCUGCCCUUAACUCUGGGAUAAGCCUGGGAAACUGGGUCUAAUACCGGAUAGGAGCGUCCACCGCAUGGUGGGGGUUGGAAAGAUUUAUCGGUUUUGGAUGGACUCGCGGCCUAUCAGCUUGUUGGUGAGGUAAUGGCUCACCAAGGCGACGACGGGUAGCCGGCCUGAGAGGGUGACCGGCCACACUGGGACUGAGACACGGCCCAGACUCCUACGGGAGGCAGCAGUGGGGAAUAUUGCACAAUGGGCGCAAGCCUGAUGCAGCGACGCCGCGUGAGGGAUGACGGCCUUCGGGUUGUAAACCUCUUUCAGUAGGGAAGAAGCGAAAGUGACGGUACCUGCAGAAGAAGCACCGGCUAACUACGUG